AGUGAACGCUGGCGGUAGGCCUAACACAUGCAAGUCGAACGGCAGCACAGAGGAGCUUGCUCCUUGGGUGGCGAGUGGCGGACGGGUGAGGAAUACAUCGGAAUCUACUCUGUCGUGGGGGAUAACGUAGGGAAACUUACGCUAAUACCGCAUACGACCUACGGGUGAAAGCAGGGGACCUUCGGGCCUUGCGCGAUUGAAUGAGCCGAGGUCGGAUUAGCUAGUUGGCGGGGUAAAGGCCCACCAAGGCGACGAUCCGUAGCUGGUCUGAGAGGAUGAUCAGCCACACUGGAACUGAGACACGGUCCAGGCUCCUACGGGAGGCAGCAGUGGGGAAUAUUGGACAAUGGGCGCAAGCCUGAUCCAGCCAUACCGCGUGGGUGAAGAAGGCCUUCGGGUUGUAAAGCCCUUUUGUUGGGAAAGAAAUCCAGCCGGCUAAUACCCGGUUGGGAUGACGGUACCCAAAGAAUAAGCACCGGCUAACUUCGUGCCAGCCGCCGCCGUAA
rnacentral:rRNA from 1 species